rnacentral:rRNA from 1 species
AUUGAACGCUGGCGGCAUGCUUUACACAUGCAAGUCGAACGGCAGCGAGAGAGAAGCUUGCUCCUCUUGUCGGCGAGUGGCGAACGGGUGAGUAAUACAUCGGAACGUACCCUGUAGUGGGGGAUAACUACUCGAAAGAGUAGCUAAUACCGCAUACAACCUGAGGGUAAAAGUGGGGGACCGCAAGGCCUCACGCUAUAGGAGCGGCCGAUGGAAGAUUAGCUAGUUGGUAGGGUAAAGGCUCACCAAGGCGACGAUCUGUAGCGGGGCUGAGAGGAUGAUCCGCCACACUGGAACUGAGACACGGUCCAGACUCCUACGGGAGGCAGCAGUGGGGAAUUUUGGACAAUGGGCGAAAGCCUGAUCCAGCCAUGCCGCGUGAGUGAAGAAGGCCCUCGGGUUGUAAAGCUCUUUUGUUGGGAAAGAAAAGCAAUCGGUUAAUACCCGGUUGUUCUGACGGUACCCAAAGAAUAAGCACCGGCUAACUUCGUGCCAGCAGCCGCCGUAACAC